rnacentral:lncRNA from 1 species
CUAGCACCCCCAUGUCCACUCCACCCAACCCCAGGCAGGAGCCUGGCAAGUAGGCAGCACUCUGGGAAGGGAACCAUCUCAACCUGUCUUCCUGUGUCCUCUGCCUGAGACCUGAUGACAAAGCAGCCACCUUCCUCCUCUUUCCAGCUCUUCUGUCUGUUUUCCAGCAAGGCAGGACAAGCAUUUCUAGAGUGACCUGGGGUGAUGGUGUGAGUCACAGUCAUUGAGAACGAAUGCCCCUUGCUUUCAGGACAGCUGGGAGAGGGUGCAGUGCUGGGCACACGGCCACCUGUUUCAGGCAAACAAUUUCAUUGGAUCCUCACCUUACCUAAAGGAAAGCGGAGACUGUCCCUGUUUUAUAGAAGAAAACAGAGGAGCCAAGGUGGGAUCCCUGGGCUGUGCUUGUCCUUUUGUCUCUGUAACCGAGGGCAUCCUUAGCCCAGGUCAGCCUUCUUGGAAUCAUUCAACUGCGCAGUCAGGAGGAGGGGCUGGACUGGGCCAGGCAGCUUGUGCCUUCUCUGGACUUGGGCUCUGUGCUCUGGCCCAGCAAGAUUAGCAGCCUUCACGAAGGACAUUUUUCUCCCGCAGAUUCUCGAUUUAUCAUCAGAGCGCUUUUGGGGUUUGAGAAAUCUAGCUGUCACGUGACACUGCACUUCCAAGCCCCCAGGCUCAGAUACGGUGAACAAAUGACCAGGAGAGACCCGGGUAGCCCUGCUCCAUGCCCGCAGGCUUUGGCACUGGGGGAAUGGAAGAAGAUCCAUUUGCCAACUUGGCUCUUCUUGCCAACUCUAAGCAAAACUUGGCUUCAGAAAUGAUGAAACGCAUCCCAGUGACAUGACUGCCAAGCUGGGGGACACAGCAGGGUCCCUGGAGACCCAGAGCACGUUAAAUGGGAGUAAUUUCCUGACUAACCCCUGAUUCUCCUGGAGGUGGCUCCUGGAAUAUUGCUGAGUUUCCGGUUUGGCUGCUUUGGUCUGAAAUGGCAAACAUGUGCUCCCAC